CCGUAGCUCAGAAGGAUAGAGCGUCCGCCUCCUAAGCGGAAGGUCAUGGGUUCGAAUCCCGUCGGAU
rnacentral:tRNA from 1 species